UGAUUAUGAGCGGUUCCCCUGUCGUGUGCUGUAUAAAACAGCCUCUUAUGAGAAAGGCAUGGCUAAAGUGCGCCAGGCACAAGACACAUCAGACAUUGGAACUGAUAUGGAAACGGAAGUGCCACCCAAGAGAAUUAUGAGGCCAAACCCACGCUAUCAGCAGGAUGC